GGGGAAUCUUCCGCAAUGGGCGAAAGCCUGACGGAGCAACGCCGCGUGAGUGAUGACGGCCUUCGGGUUGUAAAGCUCUGUGAUCGGGGACGAACGGUUCGUGGGACAAUACCCCAUGGAAGUGACGGUACCCGAAUAGCAAGCCACGGCUAACUACGUGCCAGCAGCCGCGGUAAUACGUAGGUGGCAAGCGUUGUCCGGAAUUAUUGGGCGUAAAGCGCGCGCAGGCGGCUUCCUAAGUCCAUCUUAAAAGUGCGGGGCUUAACCCCGUGAUGGGAUGGAAACUGGGGAGCUGGAGUAUCGGAGAGGAAAGUGGAAUUCCUAGUGUAGCGGUGAAAUGCGUAGAGAUUAGGAAGAACACCGGUGGCGAAGGCGACUUUCUGGACGACAACUGACGCUGAGGCGCGAAAGCGUGGGGAGCAAAC
rnacentral:rRNA from 1 species